rnacentral:rRNA from 1 species
CGUGCAGGCGGUUUACUAAGUUGGGUGUGAAAGCUCCUGGCUCAACUGGGAGAGGUCGCUCAAGACUGGUAGACUCGAGAGCAGUAGGGGAAGGUGGAAUUCCGGGUGUAGUGGUGAAAUGCGUAGAUAUCCGGAGGAACACCAGUGGCGAAGGCGGCCUUCUAGACUGUAUCUGACGCUCAGACGCGAAAGCUAGGGUAGCAAACGGGAUUAGAGACCCCGGUAGUCCUAGCCGUAAACGAUGUGAACUUGGCGCUGGCUGGGUAAAACCGAUCAGUGCCGAAGCAAACGCGAUAAGUUCACCACCUGGGGACUACGGCCGCAAGGUUAAA